rnacentral:miRNA from 1 species
UCUUCUCUCUCUUCUC